rnacentral:rRNA from 1 species
AUUGAACGCUGGCGGCAGGCCUAACACAUGCAAGUCGAACGGUAACAGGAAGAAGCUUGCUUCUUUGCUGACGAGUGGCGGACGGGUGAGUAAUGUCUGGGAAACUGCCUGAUGGAGGGGGAUAACUACUGGAAACGGUAGCUAAUACCGCAUAACGUCGCAAGACCAAAGAGGGGGACCUUCGGGCCUCUUGCCAUCGGAUGCGCCCAGAUGGGAUUAGCUAGUAGGUGGGGUAACGGCUCACCUAGGCGACGAUCCCUAGCUGGUCUGAGAGGAUGACCAGCCACACUGGAACUGAGACACGGUCCAGACUCCUACGGGAGGCAGCAGUGGGGAAUAUUGCACAAUGGGCGCAAGCCUGAUGCAGCCAUGCCGCGUGUAUGAAGAAGGCCUUCGGGUUGUAAAGUACUUUCAGCGGGGAGGAAGGGAGUAAAGUUAAUACCUUUGCUCAUUGACGUUACCCGCAGAAGAAGCACCGGCUAACUCCGUC